rfam:Triticum aestivum genome assembly, contig: Triticum_aestivum_CS42_TGACv1_scaffold_032844_1BL
AGGCAGCCUCUUUAUCAUUACAGUGGCAUUGGAGGUGUUGCGUUGCUCGGAUAGUAAACCUUUUGCUCUUCAGAUUAGCUGAGGGGGAGGCUCCUGCUUCCCUCCCUGAAAGCUGGUCUAGUAGUCUUAAGAACAUU